rnacentral:rRNA from 1 species
AAGCAGAGCUUUUUCCUCGUACCUUUUGCAUCAUGAUUUAGCUAGUAAAAUUCAAGCAAAGAGCACUUUAGUUUGACACCCCGAAACUAGAUGAGCUACUCCAAGGCAGCCUGACUUAUAGGGCGCACCCGUCUCUGUGGCAAAAGAGUGGGAAGACCUUUGAGUAGGAGUGAUAAACCUAUCGAAUCUAGUUAUAGCUGGUUGCCUGGGAACUGGAUAGGAGUUCAGCCUCCCGGCUUCUUUCGUCAACACAUAAUAUUCAAGGGCCCCCGCCCUUAAACCCGACAUAACAGAAACCGCGAGAGUUAGUCAGAGGGGGUACAGCCCCUCUGACACAAGAUACAACUUUCCAAGGCGGGUAAUGACCACAUAGUUCAAGGCAAAGUAUUCUGGUGGGCCUACAAGCAGCCAUCCCCAAAGAGUGCGUUAAAGCUCAAACAUACUUAUACCCUUAUAUUCUGGUAGCCCUAUCACAACCCCCUAAAUUUACCAGGCCUUCCCAUGCAAACAUGGGAGAGUUUAUGCUAAAAUGAGUAAUAAGAGGGCAUAUUUUCGCCCCUCUCUCCAGCACAUGUGUAACUCGGAACGGACCCCCCACCGAGCUUUAACGGCCCCAAUAAAAGAGGGAACUGAAUAAUGAAUAAAAAACUAGAAAACCAUUCAAAAACUACCGUUAACCCUACACUGGUGUACCUUCAGAGAAAGACUCAAAGGGUAAGAAGGAAUUCGGCAAACAUGAGCCCCGCCUGUUUACCAAAAACAUCGCCUCUUGCAAACUUAUGAAUAAGAGGUCCCGCCUGCCCUGUGACUAUAUGUUUAACGGCCGCGGUAUCUUAACCGUGCGAAGGUAGCGCAAUCACUUGUCUUUUAAAUGGAGACCUGUAUGAAUGGCAUCACGAGGGCUUGACUGUCUCCUUUCCCUGGUCAAUGAAAUUGAUCUCCCCGUGCAGAAGCGGGGAUACGCACAUAAGACGAGAAGACCCUAUGAAGCUUUAGACACAAGGGAGACUACCUUAAUUACCCCUGGAUAAAGGGCAAAAGCUAAAGGUACCCCUCCCCAGCGUCUUUGGUUGGGGCGACCGCGGGGUAAAACAAAACCCCCAUGUGGAAUAGGAGCACCCCUCCUUCAACCAAGAGCUCCCGCUCUAAGGAACAGAACUUUUGACCAAUCAAUGAUCCGGCAUCGCCGAUCAACGAACCGAGUUACCCUAGGGAUAACAGCGCAAUCCCCUUUUAGAGCCCUUAUCGACAAGGGGGUUUACGACCUCGAUGUUGGAUCAGGACAUCCUAAUGGUGCAGCCGCUAUUAAGGGUUC